UACAGAGGUCUCAAGCGUUGUCCGGAAUCAUUGGGCGUAAAGCGCGCGUAGGUGGCUUCGUAAGUCCGUUGUGAAAGUCAAAGGCUCAACCUUUGAAAGCCGAUGGAUACUGCGGAGCUAGAGUACGGAAGAGGCGAGUGGAAUUCCUGGUGUAGCGGUGGAAUGCGCAGAUAUCAGGAGGAACACCAAUAGCGAAGGCAGCUCGCUGGGACGUUACUGACACUGAGGCGCGAAAGCGUGGGGAGCGAACAGG
rnacentral:rRNA from 1 species